rnacentral:rRNA from 1 species
UGGCGAACGGGUGAGGAACGCGUGGACAACUACCCCGGCUGGGGGAUACCCGCCAGAAAUGGCGGCUAAUACCGCGUACGGUUGCCGAACGAAGGGUUUGGCAAAGAAAGCAGCGAUGCGCGCUGGGAGGGGUCUGCGGCCGAUUAGCUAGUUGGCGGGGUAACGGCUCACCAAGGCGAUGAUCGGUAGCUGGUCUGAGAGGAUGAUCAGCCACACGGGGACUGAGACACGGCCCCG